rnacentral:rRNA from 1 species
ACGCUCGACACCUACGGGGGGCAGCAGUGGGGAAUAUUGCACAAUGGGGGAAACCCUGAUGCAGCGACGCCGCGUGAAGGAAGAAGUAUCUCGGUAUGUAAACUUCUAUCAGCAGGGAAGAAAAUGACGGUACCUGACUAAGAAGCCCCGGCUAACUACGUCNCNGNCGCGAGUAUCNGNGGCGNGNGAGAG